GUUGAUAGUAUCAGUGGGUUAAAGAAAGAUAAAAUGUUGGAAAACCUAGUUUGUUGUGAUGUAUCAUAGUGACCUACGUAAUGCUCUCAUUGUUUGUGCAGUAAGCUACAGAUUACAAUACUGAUAUGAGAUUAUUGUGUACAACUAAGUGCAUCUCUAAUGUGUUCUACAUGGAUGUUUGCAGCUAGCUUUUUUUUUUUGGUAUGGAUAUACCAAAAUAGAGUUCU
rnacentral:misc_RNA from 1 species